ACUCAAAGGAAUUGACGGGGGCCCGCACAAGCGGAGGAACAUGUGGUUUAAUUCGAUGAUACGCGAGGAACCUUACCUGGGCUUAAAUGUAGAGUGCAUGAGGUGGAAACACCCUUUCUGGCAACAGACUCUUUGCAAGGUGCUGCAUGGUUGUCGUCAGCUCGUGCCGUGAGGUGUCGGGUUAAGUCCCAUAACGAGCGCAACCCUUAUCGUUAGUUGCCAUCAGGUAAUGCUGGGAACUCUAGCGAGACUGCCACCGUAAGGUGAGAGGAAGGUGGGGAUGACGUCAAAUCAGCACGGCCCUUAUGUCCAGGGCUACACACGUGUUACAAUGGCCGGUACAAAGGGCAGCUACACCGCGAGGUGAUGCUAAUCUCGAAAGCCGGUCUCAGUUCGGAUUGGAGUCUGCAACCCGACUCCAUGAAGUUGGAUUCGCUAGUAAUCGCGCAUCAGCCAUGGCGCGGUGAAUACGUUCCCGGGCCUUGUACACACCGCCCGU
rnacentral:rRNA from 1 species